rnacentral:rRNA from 1 species
GAUGAACGCUGGCGGCGUGCCUAAUACAUGCAAGUCGAGCGAACAGACGAGGAUCUUGCUCCUCUGACGUUAGCGGCGGACGGGUGAGUAACACGUGUAUAACCUACCUAUAAGACUGGGAUAACUUCGGGAAACCGGAGCUAAUCGCGGAUGAUAUAUUGAACCGCAGGGUUCAAUAGUGAAAGACGGUUUUGCUGUCACUUAUAGAUGGAUCCGCGCCGCAUUAGCUAGUUGGUAAGGUAACGGCUUACCAAGGCAACGAUGCGUAGCCGACCGGAGAGGGGGGUCGGCCACAUUGGAACUGAGACACGGUCCAGACUCCUACGGGAGGCAGCAGUAGGGAAUCUUCCGCAAUGGGCGAAAGCCUGACGGAGCAACGCCGCGUGAGUGAUGAAGGUCUUCGGAUCGUAAAACUCUGUUAUUAGGGAAGAACAAAUGUGUAAGUAACUAUGCACGUCUUGACGGUACCUAAUCAGAAAGCAACGGCUAACUACGUG